rnacentral:tRNA from 1 species
ACCUGGGUGGCUCAGUGGUUGAGCACCUGCCUUCGACUCAGGGCCUGAUCCUGGAGCGUGGGAUUGAGUCCCACAUUGGGCU